rnacentral:lncRNA from 1 species
GAGUAGUUAUGUUGAUCAUCUCAUCUGUGCUGCGCCCUGAAAGGGCAGAAACAACGACCUAAGAAAGGUGAUGCAGCAACAAUAUUUGAAGAAACCAGUCCCAUACUGAAUAUCAGGACAGAGAAGACUGAUGCUGGAAACUGCUGUCCUGAAUGGCUGCUGUUAGGAGAAAGCUGACUGUAGUUGGAGAUGACUGCUCUGCUAAGACGUGCCUCCUCUUCGCUCUGCGUCACAAUCAACUUCCCACAUUGUACGAGCCAACCCUGUUUGACACGUGUGUCACUGACAUAGAGGAAGAUGGGAAGGGGAUGAAACUAUUUGUGUUUGACAUGUCAGGGAAAGCUGAAGUCAGUUACCGAAAUCUCUGCUCAGUAUUCUACGAGAACACCAACAUUAUUUUGUUUCUCAGUGGACAGGCCUGACUCACAGCAAAACCUCCUUGAACUUUGGGUUCCAGAAAUCAAACUGUUC